CUUGUUUGCCACACACUACAACCUACAUAGAAAUAUGCACAUAACAACCUUCAACAACAUAUACAUGUCCACCUUUCACAAACAGUUGCAGUAUGUCCCUUGCUCUAUGCACAUGUACAGAUGCUAAUA